rnacentral:misc_RNA from 1 species
AGGUUUAUGAUGAUAUUAGUUGACUCCAAUUCUUUUGUAAUUAGGUGUACUGCCACCAGUGUUGAUGAAUUUGAGUCAACUAAUAUCAUCAUAAACCUGCUUAGCAACUACAACAAAAGAUGUAACUAUCCAGAAGGUGUCUUUAGCAAGUAUACCUCUUUUACUGCACCAGUUCAUAACCAUAAGAAUGACAUUAUACAAGAAAUGGCAGUAUCUGGUGGCAAAAUGUUACAAUGGAAACAGG